AGAACGAACGCUGGCGGCAUGCCUAAUACAUGCAAGUCGAACGAACACUUCGGUGUUAGUGGCGCACGGGUGCGUAACGCGUGGGAAUCUGCCCUUGGGUUCGGAAUAACAGUUGGAAACGACUGCUAAUACCGGAUGAUAUCGAAAGAUCAAAGAUUUAAUCGCCCAGGGAUGAGCCCGCGUAGGAUUAGCUAGUUGGUGAGGUAAAGCUCACCAAAGGCGACGAUCCUUAGCUGGUCUGAGAGGAUGAUCAGCCACGACUGGGACUGAGACACGGCCCAGACUCCAGGGAGCAGCAGUAGGAUAUGGACAAUGGCGCAAGCUGAUCCAGCAAUGCGCGUGAGUGA
rnacentral:rRNA from 1 species